CAUCCAGAGGCCGAGCCUCUCCAAGCACUGGUCAGCCUCCAUGCCACCCAGUCUGCCGACCCUCCUCUCCACCAUCCCCUCGUCCGAGCAGUGGCGAUCCCUCCCGAGUCAAGGCUGGGCACAAGCACAUGGGGACAGGCCGGGUGAACCUCUUCCCGACUGCUCUGGUGCACUUUGGAGCCGAGGAGCCGGCAGGUGUCUACCUGGAGCCUGGCCUGCUGGAGCAUGCCAUCUCCCCAUCUGCGGCCGACGUGCUGGUGGCCAGGUAAGUGCCGGUGGGUCUGGGGGCACCUCCCGUGGCGGCACUCACCACUCUGUGUCUUCGCCUCCCCACAGGUACAUGUCCAGGGCUGCCAGGUCCCCUUCCCCAUUGCCAGCCCCUGACCCUGCACCUGAGUCUGAGCCAGCUGCUGAGGACGGGGCGCUGGUCCCCCCAGAGCCCAUCCCAGGGACGGCCCAGCCCGUGAAGAGGAGCCUGGGCAAGGUGCCCAAGUGGCUGAAGCUGCCUGCCAGCAAGAGGUGAGAGCUGCCAGCCCGAGGUGCCCACUCUGCCAGCCACAGGACCACCUCCCCUGCCAGCAGGAAUAAAGACUUGUGCAUCCCUC
rnacentral:sRNA from 1 species